rnacentral:sRNA from 1 species
UACUAGCAAUGUUUACUUACAAAAACCUG